GACGAACGCUGGCGGCGUGCUUAACACAUGCAAGUCGAGCGAGGCCCAUCUUCGGGUGGUGCCCUAGCGGCGAACGGGUGAGUAACACGUGGGCAACCUGCCCUCAGCUCUGGGAUAACUCCAAGAAAUUGGUGCUAAUACCGGAUGUGACCGCUGACCGCAUGGUCUGGUGGUGGAAAGAUUCAUCGGCUGAGGAUGGGCCCGCGGCCUAUCAGCUUGUUGGUGGGGUAAUGGCCCACCAAGGCGACGACGGGUAGCCGGCCUGAGAGGGUGACCGGCCACACUGGGACUGAGACACGGCCCAGACUCCUACGGGAGGCAGCAGUGGGGAAUAUUGCGCAAUGGGCGAAAGCCUGACGCAGCGACGCCGCGUGAGGGAUGACGGCCUUCGGGUUGUAAACCUCUUUCAGUAGGGACGAAGCGCAAGUGACGGUACCUACAGAAGAAGCACCGGCCAACUACGUGCCAGCAGCCGCCGUAAUAC
rnacentral:rRNA from 1 species